rnacentral:rRNA from 1 species
UACGUAGGGCGCAAGCGUUGUCCGGAAUUAUUGGGCGUAAAGAGCUCGUAGGCGGCCUGUCGCGUCGACCGUGAAAACUCGCAGCUCAACUGCGAGCCUGCGGUCGAUACGGGCAGGCUAGAGUUCGGUAGGGGAGACUGGAAUUCCUGGUGUAGCGGUGAAAUGCGCAGAUAUCAGGAGGAACACCGAUGGCGAAGGCAGGUCUCUGGGCCGAUACUGACGCUGAGGAGCGAAAGCGUGGGGAGCGAACAGG